rnacentral:SRP_RNA from 1 species
GCCGAGCCUGGCAACGCGGGCUUGUGACCCAAGUGGGGGCAUUAAGGUGGCUUA